rnacentral:rRNA from 1 species
CAAUAGCGUAUAUUAAAGUUGUUGCGGUUAAAAAGCUCGUAGUUGGAUUUCUGUGGUAGGCAGCCGGUCCACACUAUGUGUGAGUAUCUGGUUCGGCUACUGCAUCCUCCUGAGGAACGUUGGUGCGCUUCACUGCGUGGCACGGUAUUCAGGACUUUUACUUUGAGGAAAUUAGAGUGUUCACGGCAGGCGUUUGCCCUGAAUAUAUUAGCAUGGAAUAAUGAUAUAGGAUCCACGUCCUAUUUUGUUGGUUUCUAGGACGAGGAUAAUGAUUAAUAGGGAUAAUUGGGGGCAUUCGUAUUAGGACGUCAGAGGUGGAAUUCUUGGAUUAUCCUACGACGAACUACUGCGAAAGCAUUUGCCAAGGAUGUUUUCAUUGA